rnacentral:rRNA from 1 species
UACGUAGGCAGCGAGCGUUGUUCGGAGUUACUGGGCGUAAAGAGUGCGUAGGCGGUUUUCUAAGUUUGGUGUGAAAUCUCCCGGCUUAACUGGGAGGGUGCGCCGAAGACUGGAAGGCUUGAGUAUGGGAGAGGUAAGCGGAAUUCCUGGUGUAGCGGUGAAAUGCGUAGAUAUCAGGAGGAACACCUGCGGUGUAGACGGCUUACUGGACCAUAACUGACGCUGAGGCACGAAAGCGUGGUAGCAAACAGG